AGGUAAUAUGCCGGGCCUCGAUCUGUGCUUGUCGGCCUUUCAUGGAAUCCAUACAGGGCCUCGACGACCAAAUCCUGCCUACAUGUGCUCCUGUAUACAUCUAGUGCUAUGCUAUUCGGUUUCUGCAGCUUCUAAAAAUAUGUGCUUCUGUGCUGUUGUAUUCUAUUAUAUUGGGACACAUCUAGAAAGACUCAGUAUCAAACUGGCUGCUCGAUUUAUGGAUAUAGGCUGCUCCGAUGCCAAAACAUGUGAAUUAUUGAGUUGUUGGUGCUACCAGGAAACAAGUCAACCUUCCAAGCUAUUUCCUCUAUGUGCCUUACAGAUUUGUAUUAAUACAUAAUGGCUAAUGCUAGCUUCUACUUAUUCUGCAUCAAAAGGGUUGCAGCAUGGAGGGUGAUGGAAAUUUCAAAUGGACCUGCUCAUGCGGCGAGACAUGGAUGGGCUCUUUAUGGCACACCAACAUGUAUUUGCUCAUGGUCUAAUGUUUUCUUCGGUUCUAUACUCUGAUGCAGCCAGCACAUAGAAUGUAUGUGUUACUACCAAGAUUCAGAUUAAACAACCAACAACAUGCUACUCUUGAGGAAUUCAGAACUUCGGGACCAAGGACCAUCAAGAUCAGCCACCAGCAGCAACCUUAUAAUCGCCAUGUAAAAUAGCUGAACCAGCCACUAUAUGUACAAACUAUCCUAUGUAUGUAAAUUAAAGCACUCCUAAACCAUAGGCUCCAUGACAUGGCAUGUAUGAUUAGAACUAUAAACCUAGCUUGUCAACUUGAUAUCCAUGUGAAUCACCUCCCAAACUGUUUUCACUCCAUAAACAUACCACACCCAUGAAACACCCCGACGUGCAGCUUUCUGGUUUCUUUCAGUCUUGUGCUUCCGUAUUGGACAGUGUAGUGCUAAAAGCAGUUUCAAUUGACUGCAGGUGGCAACGUUGUGAGUCCUAUCAGUCAAUCGGAUUUGGUUGGGCCACCGAGACAUUAGUGUCUGUUUCAUAUUGUCAAAGUUCCUCUCAAACAGGCUAUUCAACUCGCUGUCUGUUGUUGUUUCCUAUCGAAUCAGCAACUGACAUUCCUUCCUGCCAUACAGGUAACAAGGAACCACUAGCUUCGACACCAAGGAACCAGCCAUACAGCCAGGUCACGGUAAUGAAACUACUUCGGAACUCAGAGGUACAUGCUCUGUCAUAAAUUCAGCACACAUUUACCAUUAUCAAUACACCGACACUUAUCCUGUGUAUAUGUUUCUAUAGAAUCAUCAAACCACAUUUCAGAUUAUGA